rnacentral:rRNA from 1 species
ACUAUACGGUGAAACUGCGAAUGGCUCAUUAAAUCAGUUAUCGUUUAUUUGAUAGUACUUCACUACAUGGACAACUGUGGUAAUUCUAGAGCUAAUACAUGCUAAAAACCCCGACUUCGGAAGGGGUGUAUUUAUUAGAUAAAAAACCAACGCCCUCCGGGGCUCCUUGGUGAAUCAUAAUAACUUAACGAAUCGCAUGGCCUUGAGCCGGCGAUGGUUCAUUCAAAUUUCUGCCCUAUCAACUUUCGAUGGUAGGAUAGUGGCCUACCAUGGUCUCAACGGGUAACGGGGAAUUAGGGUUCGACUCCGGAGAGGGAGCCUGAGAAACGGCUACCACAUCCAAGGAAGGCAGCAGGCGCGCAAAUUACCCAAUCCCGACACGGGGAGGUAGUGACAAUAAAUACUGAUACAGGGCUCUUUCGGGUCUUGUAAUUGGAAUGAGUACAAUUUAAAUCCCUUAACGAGGAACAAUUGGAGGGCAAGUCUGGUGCCAGCAGCCGCGGUAAUUCCAGCUCCAAUAGCGUAUAUUAAAGUUGUUGCAGUUAAAAAGCUCGUAGUUGAACCUUGGGCCUGGCUGGCCGGUCCGCCUCACCGCGUGUACUGGUCCGGCCGGGCCUUUCCUUCUGGGGAACCGCAUGGCCUUCACUGGCCGUGCCGGGGAACCAGGACUUUUACUUUGAAAAAAUUAGAGUGUUCAAAGCAGGCCUUUGCUCGAAUACAUUAGCAUGGAAUAAUAGAAUAGGACGUGCGGUUCUAUUUUGUUGGUUUCUAGGACCGCCGUAAUGAUUAAUAGGGACAGUCGGGGGCAUCCGUAUUCAAUUGUCAGAGGUGAAAUUCUUGGAUUUAUUGAAGACGAACUACUGCGAAAGCAUUUGCCAAGGAUGUUUUCAUUAAUCAGUGAACGAAAGUUAGGGGAUCGAAGACGAUCAGAUACCGUCGUAGUCUUAACCAUAAACUAUGCCGACUAGGGAUCGGUGGGUGUUAUUAUUUUGACCCCAUCGGCACCUUACGAGAAAUCAAAGUUUUUGGGUU